GUAUUUUGCCCAAAGUCUGUGAGGCUGAUUUAAAAGUUCUGGUGAAAGAAGUAUCUAGAAAGCAUAGAAUUUCAGCAGUGGCAUACAUGUUGCUGGUGGCUGUUAACCACAUUUAUUGUGAUAAUCAAGAGAAGAAAGCAGAGCAGAAAGAUUUGAAAAACUUUGACUUGAAAGGUGGGAGUAAAACUGAGUCUAUAGAAGUUGCAGUUGAGAAACACAUUACCUAACUAAAAUGCUAAAACUUUUUCCCAGAGACAAUAAGAAAGAUGGCUAUAGAGCAUCUCAGAAAAUGGCAAGAUCAUAUCCAUCUCAGACUCAAGAAAGUCAAAGCAAAAAUUCUCUUGAGAAGAGACCAGUGGGGACCCCUUCUUGCAGAAAGGGAACUAGGAGUUUUUUUCUACAGAGUAAUAUACCCAAACACUCAGAGGCUGCCACAGCCAGGGUCCUUGGAGGCUUAGCUAAUGUUCAAGUUGGUGGCAGACCUUGCUGUCAACCACCUAGUUCUGCAGGAAUGUAACAUGGUGGAGUGUGGAGGUCAGGGAAGCCUUCAUCGAGAUUUCAAAUUAAGGUGUGGGAGUCCAGAAAAAGUGCAGCAGCAUCAUAGUUCCUGCAAGCAAGGAGGGCAAUGCAUAAAGAUGUUAGGAAGAAACAAAAGCUGCAGUGGCAACCCUCCAG
rnacentral:lncRNA from 1 species